rnacentral:rRNA from 1 species
UUUGCCCUACGGGAGGCAGCAGUGGGGAAUAUUGCACAAUGGGGGGAACCCUGAUGCAGCGACGCCGCGUGGGUGAGGAAGUACUUCGGUAUGUAAAGCCCUCUCAGCAGGGAAGAAAAUGACGGUACCUGACUAAGAAGCCCCGGCUAACUACGUGCCAGCAGCCGCGGUAAUACGUAGGGGGCAAGCGUUAUCCGGAUUUACUGGGUGUAAAGGGAGCGUAGACGGUUAUGUAAGUCUGGAGUGAAAGCCCGGGGCCCAACCCCGGGACUGCUUUGGAAACUGUGUAACUGGAGUACAGGAGG